rnacentral:rRNA from 1 species
GAAAAGAACUUUGAAAAGAGAGUUAAACAGUACGUGAAAUUGUUGAAAGGGAAACGAUUAAAGUCAGUCGUACGGACGGGAAAUCAGCCUUUCGAGCGUGGAUAUGCGGGAUUCGGAGAGCCUUCGACCUCGCGUAUUUGAGUUCUUUUGGUGUACUUUCCCGUGACGUAGGUCAGCGUCGGUUUCGAUCGUUAUAAAAUGAUCGGGGGAAUGUGGCUUCGAUUUCGAUUGAAGUGUUAUAGACUUUGGUAGAUGUGGUGAUCGAAACUGAGGAUUGCAACGAAUACCUUUUGGGCUAUCCGUCUGACCUCUGAUGGUUAGCUGGGUGCCGAAAGCAUGCUUACGGUUAUCCAAGUUGACUGUCAAUAGGUUAGAACGUGAUUACAUUCGUUAAGGACAU